rfam:Rhizobium etli CIAT 894 Cont2746, whole genome shotgun sequence.
GUGAGGGUGACCGAGCGUGGGGAGGAAGCGUGGAUCGAAACUGCGGGCCGAUGGACAAGAACCGGAUAUGAGGCGGUGCCGACCAGGGCGAGCGGGCAACGAACCGCGAAGCUCUUGUGACCAAGAGGCGGUGGCGUAAUCCCGCGGUCGUGCAGGGAAAGGAGUGCGU